rnacentral:rRNA from 1 species
GAUGAACGCUGGCGGCGUGCCUAACACAUGCAAGUCGAGCGAUUCUCUUCGGAGAAGAGCGGCGGACGGGUGAGUAACGCGUGGGUAACCUGCCCUGUACACGCGGAUAACAUACCGAAAGGUAUGCUAAUACGAGAUAAUAUGCUUUUAUCGCAUGGUAGAAGUAUCAAAGCUUUUGCGGUACAGGAUGACCCGCGUCUGAUUAGCUAGUUGGUAAGGUAACGGCUUACCAAGGCGACGAUCAGUAGCCGACCUGAGAGGGUGAUCGGCCACAUUGGAACUGAGACACGGUCCAAACUCCUACGGGAGGCAGCAGUGGGGAAUAUUGCACAAUGGGCGAAAGCCUGAUGCAGCAACGCCGCGUGAGCGAUGAAGGCCUUCGGGUCGUAAAGCUCUGUCCUCAAGGAAGAUAAUGACGGUACUUGAGGAGGAAGCCCCGGCUAACUACGUGCCAGCCGCCGCGGUAA